rnacentral:lncRNA from 1 species
UGGUAAGAUGGUCCAUCCUCAUGCAAAUGUUAUCAAUACAAAUCAGCAAUGAUUAAAAAAACCAGCCCACAUUAGCUGCAAUCUCAGAGUCAGAUCAUGCAAACAAUUGACUAUCAAAUGAUUAUGAUGGACUAAGAUUCAUGCUUGUGCAAAGCAAGAAUUGAAAAAGCACAAAGCAUGAGUCAGAUUCAUGCUUGUGUUAACUUAGUAGUGUAGGAUUUGAUUU